GGUUAAGCGACUAAGCGUACACGGUGGAUGCCCUGGCAGUCAGAGGCGAUGAAGGACGUGCUAAUCUGCGAUAAGCGUCGGUAAGGUGAUAUGAACCGUUAUAACCGGCGAUUUCCGAAUGGGGAAACCCAGUGUGUUUCGACACACUAUCAUUAACUGAAUCCAUAGGUUAAUGAGGCGAACCGGGGGAACUGAAACAUCUAAGUACCCCGAGGAAAAGAAAUCAACCGAGAUUCCCCCAGUAGCGGCGAGCGAACGGGGAGCAGCCCAGAGCCUGAAUCAGUGUGUGUGUUAGUGGAAGCGUCUGGAAAGGCGCGCGAUACAGGGUGACAGCCCCGUACACAAAAAUGCACAUGCUGUGAGCUCGAUGAGUAGGGCGGGACACGUGGUAUCCUGUCUGAAUAUGGGGGGACCAUCCUCCAAGGCUAAAUACUCCUGACUGACCGAUAGUGAACCAGUACCGUGAGGGAAAGGCGAAAAGAACCCCGGCGAGGGGAGUGAAAAAGAACCUGAAACCGUGUACGUACAAGCAGUGGGAGCACGCUUAGGCGUGUGACUGCGUACCUUUUGUAUAAUGGGUCAGCGACUUAUAUUCUGUAGCAAGGUUAACCGAAUAGGGGAGCCGAAGGGAAACCGAGUCUUAACUGGGCGUUAAGUUGCAGGGUAUAGACCCGAAACCCGGUGAUCUAGCCAUGGGCAGGUUGAAGGUUGGGUAACACUAACUGGAGGACCGAACCGACUAAUGUUGAAAAAUUAGCGGAUGACUUGUGGCUGGGGGUGAAAGGCCAAUCAAACCGGGAGAUAGCUGGUUCUCCCCGAAAGCUAUUUAGGUAGCGCCUCGUGAAUUCAUCUCCGGGGGUAGAGCACUGUUUCGGCAAGGGGGUCAUCCCGACUUACCAACCCGAUGCAAACUGCGAAUACCGGAGAAUGUUAUCACGGGAGACACACGGCGGGUGCUAACGUCCGUCGUGAAGAGGGAAACAACCCAGACCGCCAGCUAAGGUCCCAAAGUCAUGGUUAAGUGGGAAACGAUGUGGGAAGGCCCAGACAGCCAGGAUGUUGGCUUAGAAGCAGCCAUCAUUUAAAGAAAGCGUAAUAGCUCACUGGUCGAGUCGGCCUGCGCGGAAGAUGUAACGGGGCUAAACCAUGCACCGAAGCUGCGGCAGCGACGCUGAUGCGUUGUUGGGUAGGGGAGCGUUCUGUAAGCCUGCGAAGGUGUGCUGUGAGGCAUGCUGGAGGUAUCAGAAGUGCGAAUGCUGACAUAAGUAACGAUAAAGCGGGUGAAAAGCCCGCUCGCCGGAAGACCAAGGGUUCCUGUCCAACGUUAAUCGGGGCAGGGUGAGUCGACCUCUAAGGCGAGGCCGAAAGGCGUAGUCGAUGGGAAACAGGUUAAUAUUCCUGUACUUGGUGUUACUGCGAAGGGGGGACGGAGAAGGCUAUGUUGGCCGGGCGACGGUUGUCCCGGUUUAAGCGUGUAGGCUGGUUUUCCAGGCAAAUCCGGAAAAUCAAGGCUGAGGCGUGAUGACGAGGCACUACGGUGCUGAAGCAACAAAUGCCCUGCUUCCAGGAAAAGCCUCUAAGCAUCAGGUAACAUCAAAUCGUACCCCAAACCGACACAGGUGGUCAGGUAGAGAAUACCAAGGCGCUUGAGAGAACUCGGGUGAAGGAACUAGGCAAAAUGGUGCCGUAACUUCGGGAGAAGGCACGCUGAUAUGUAGGUGAAGUCCCUUGCGGAUGGAGCUGAAAUCAGUCGAAGAUACCAGCUGGCUGCAACUGUUUAUUAAAAACACAGCACUGUGCAAACACGAAAGUGGACGUAUACGGUGUGACGCCUGCCCGGUGCCGGAAGGUUAAUUGAUGGGGUCAGCGCAAGCGAAGCUCUUGAUCGAAGCCCCGGUAAACGGCGGCCGUAACUAUAACGGUCCUAAGGUAGCGAAAUUCCUUGUCGGGUAAGUUCCGACCUGCACGAAUGGCGUAAUGAUGGCCAGGCUGUCUCCACCCGAGACUCAGUGAAAUUGAACUCGCUGUGAAGAUGCAGUGUACCCGCGGCAAGACGGAAAGACCCCGUGAACCUUUACUAUAGCUUGACACUGAACAUUGAGCCUUGAUGUGUAGGAUAGGUGGGAGGCUUAGAAGUGUGGACGCCAGUCUGCAUGGAGCCGACCUUGAAAUACCACCCUUUAAUGUUUGAUGUUCUAACGUUGACCCGUAAUCCGGGUUGCGGACAGUGUCUGGUGGGUAGUUUGACUGGGGCGGUCUCCUCCUAAAGAGUAACGGAGGAGCACGAAGGUUGGCUAAUCCUGGUCGGACAUCAGGAGGUUAGUGCAAUGGCAUAAGCCAGCUUGACUGCGAGCGUGACGGCGCGAGCAGGUGCGAAAGCAGGUCAUAGUGAUCCGGUGGUUCUGAAUGGAAGGGCCAUCGCUCAACGGAUAAAAGGUACUCCGGGGAUAACAGGCUGAUACCGCCCAAGAGUUCAUAUCGACGGCGGUGUUUGGCACCUCGAUGUCGGCUCAUCACAUCCUGGGGCUGAAGUAGGUCCCAAGGGUAUGGCUGUUCGCCAUUUAAAGUGGUACGCGAGCUGGGUUUAGAACGUCGUGAGACAGUUCGGUCCCUAUCUGCCGUGGGCGCUGGAGAACUGAGGGGGGCUGCUCCUAGUACGAGAGGACCGGAGUGGACGCAUCACUGGUGUUCGGGUUGUCAUGCCAAUGGCACUGCCCGGUAGCUAAAUGCGGAAGAGAUAAGUGCUGAAAGCAUCUAAGCACGAAACUUGCCCCGAGAUGAGUUCUCCCUGACUCCUUGAGAGUCCUGAAGGAACGUUGAAGACGACGACGUUGAUAGGCCGGGUGUGUAAGCGCAGCGAUGCGUUGAGCUAACCGGUACUAAUGAACCGUGAGGCUUAACCUU
rnacentral:rRNA from 1 species